AUUGAACGCUGGCGGCAUGCCUUACACAUGCAAGUCGAACGGCAGCGGGCCCUUCGGGGUGCCGGCGAGUGGCGAACGGGUGAGUAAUGCAUCGGAACGUACCCGGGAGAGGGGGAUAACCGGCCGAAAGGCUGGCUAAUACCGCAUGAACUCGGAAGAGCAAAGCGGGGGACCUUCGGGCCUCGCGCUCUCGGAGCGGCCGAUGUCCGAUUAGGCUAGUUGGUGGGGUAAAGGCCCACCAAGGCGACGAUCGGUAGCGGGUCUGAGAGGACGAUCCGCCACACUGGGACUGAGACACGGCCCAGACUCCUACGGGAGGCAGCAGUGGGGAAUCUUGGACAAUGGGCGCAAGCCUGAUCCAGCAAUGCCGCGUGGGUGAAGAAGGCCUUCGGGUUGUAAAGCCCUUUCGGCGGGGAAGAAAUCGGUCAGGCGAAUAGUCUGGCCGGAUGACGGUACCCGCAGAAGAAGUACCGGCUAACUACGUG
rnacentral:rRNA from 1 species